UACAAACCAAAGCACUAACUGGAGAGUAUGAUUGAUCAUAGACAAUAAGGUGAGGCCAUCCAUGAAUAGCAAAAUGGAACACUGCAUUAUAAGUAACAGGGCAUAUGAAAAGCGAUGCUAAGAUAGAAGAGGCCUUUCCAUCCAACACGCGAUGAAGACCAGUAAUUAACAUUUACUUUCUGGAUUGGAGGAUGAUUCUUGAACUGAAGAUGAAAAAACAGAGGAGCAUUGACGAUAGAAGUACCGAUACAAUUUUUGAAGCUUGUAUUUACGUGUAAAAACCAAUUAGCAUGAGUGAGCGGUUAUAGGAUGCAGCUCAUCAAUCAUGUACAUUGUUGUUUUCUUACCGAACAAACAUCAAGUGGAAAAACUACAAACAAGUCACUGUCGUGGCACAUCAUCAUUCUUGGAACUGGAAAUAAAGAAAGGUCUAAAUUGGCAGUAAUAUGGCAUGAAACAGAAUUAAAUAGUACUCAAGUCCAGCAGAUUAUAUAGCUUACACUAAGCGGAAAAAUACACUCAACUGGGGUCAUACUUUCUACUCCAUAACGCUUAGAACCGAGGGGAGUUAACAAAUCAGUAAUAGUAAAUACACUCAAAAUUACAAUUUGUUAUUAUCUUCGUUGAACGACCAAAAUUAGCAACACAAUCAGAGGGCCGUAUAGGCCUCUACGUUUAAUAACAGAAAAGGUAGGGUCCAUGUAGGCAUCUACGUUUAAUAACAGAAAAGGUAGACAUUAAAUAUACAGAAUCAUGAGAAUGUAUGUUCUUACAUUGAAAAGAUGUUCAUCGCCGUCAUUGGAAGGAGGCACAAAGAGACACCUAAUUUUCAGAUGUAUAACAGUAUAAGCACAUUUUACACUCACUAUGACAUAAGCAGAAAUGGACCACACUAUAGUCUGUUUACUACAUGUUCUCAGUCCAUCUACUAUAGUCCAGUUAAUUACUGCAUGCUCAUUUCCUCUACAUGUGAAUAUAUAUGUAACAUCGAGAACAUGAUAUAUAUCUUGGGGUCUGGGAUAACACAUCUAUAUCCUAGGUAGACAUCCAGGUCUCCUAUAAAAUUAGGAACAAUAAAAGCAUAAAAUACCAAGAUUACUAUGAUUUUGUUUAACUCGAGGCAUCAAAUGUUCACGCAAAAGAUAAGAUCAUAAUAAAAAGGACCAACAUAUUUCCAAUAGAACUCACCUUCUAAUUUUUUUGGGGAUUCUUUUGGUACACAACAUAAGCCUUCAAACAUUUGAGCACAUGGUAUAUCUUGAAAACUACAGCACCUUGUGCAAACCAACCAGCACAAAAGACACA
rnacentral:lncRNA from 1 species